AAUCAACGCUGGCGGCGUGCCUAACACAUGCAAGUCGAACGAGAAAGUGGAGCAAUCCAUGAGUAAAGUGGCGCACGGGUGAGUAACACGUGACUAACCUACCCUUGAGUGGGGGAGUAACCUAGGGAAACCUGGGCGUAAUACCGCAUAAUGCCUACGGGUCAAAGGAGCAAUUCGCUUUAGGAGGGGGUCGCGGCAGAUUAGUUAGUUGGCGGGGUAAGUGGCCCACCAAGACGAUGANCUGUAUCCGGCCUGAGAGGGCGCACGGACACACUGGAACUGAAACACGGUCCAGACUCCUACGGGAGGGCAGCAGUGGGGAAGUUUUGUCGCAAUGGGGGAAACCCGUGACGCAGCAACGCCGCGUGGAGGAUGAAGACCCUUGGGUCGUAAACUCCUUUCGAUCGGGACGAUAAUGACGGUACCGGAAGAAGAAGCCCCGGCUAACUUCGUGCCAGCAGCCGCCGUAAC
rnacentral:rRNA from 1 species